CCUACGGGAGGCAGCAGUGGGGAAUAUUGGGCAAUGGAGGAAACUCUGACCCAGCAACGCCGCGUGAAGGAUGAAGGUUUUCGGAUUGUAAACUUCUGUCGCGAGGGACGAAGAAUGACGGUACCUCGUAAGAAAGCCCCGGCUAACUACGUGCCAGCAGCCGCGGUAAUACGUAGGGGGCGAGCGUUAUCCGGAUUUAUUGGGUUUAAAGGGUGCGUAGGCUGUGAGGUAAGUCAGCGGUGAAAUGCCCCCGCUCAACGGGGUGAAGUGCCAUUGAUACUGCCUUGCUGGAAUGCGGAUGCCGUGGGAGGAAUGUGUGGUGUAGCGGUGAAAUGCAUAGAUAUCACACAGAACCCCGAUUGCGAAGGCAGCCUGCCAAGCCAUGACUGACGCUGAUGCACGAAAGCGUGGGGAUCAAACAGGAUUAGAUACCCCUGUAGUC
rnacentral:rRNA from 1 species